CAUGGACUUCGCCAUUUGCCUUUUACUGAGAAGCAAGCAGUCCACUCCAACAGGUCAGUAUAUACUGGGGUUGAUUUCUGCAAGAAAUUGUGUGGAGUUUUCCAUUAUUCGAAGGUCAGAAUUGCUUAGAAAGAUACAAAAUAUGGUUAAGAAUUCAAGGACUUUGUACUUCAAAUUUUUUCAUUUUUUAAUAUAUGUAAUCCAGUUAAAUUUUUUUUUACUAAUUCCUUUGUAUAUAAGUUUGAAC